rnacentral:rRNA from 1 species
GACGAACGCUGGCGGCGUGCUUAACACAUGCAAGUCGAACGGAGAGGCCCUGCUUUUGUGGGGUGCUCGAGUGGCGAACGGGUGAGUAACACGUGAGUAACCUGCCCUUGACUUUGGGAUAACUUCAGGAAACUGGGGCUAAUACCGGAUAGGAGCUCCUGCUGCAUGGUGGGGGUUGGAAAGUUUCGGCGGUUGGGGAUGGACUCGCGGCUUAUCAGCUUGUUGGUGGGGUAGUGGCUUACCAAGGCUUUGACGGGUAGCCGGCCUGAGAGGGUGACCGGCCACAUUGGGACUGAGAUACGGCCCAGACUCCUACGGGAGGCAGCAGUGGGGAAUAUUGCACAAUGGGCGGAAGCCUGAUGCAGCAACGCCGCGUGCGGGAUGACGGCCUUCGGGUUGUAAACCGCUUUCGCCUGUGACGAAGCGUGAGUGACGGUAAUGGGUAAAGAAGCACCGGCUAACUACGUGCCAGCAGCCGCGGUGAUACGUAGGGUGCGAGCGUUGUCCGGAUUUAUUGGGCGUAAAGGGCUCGUAGGUGGUUGAUCGCGUCGGAAGUGUAAUCUUGGGGCUUAACCCUGAGCGUGCUUUCGAUACGGGUUGACUUGAGGAAGGUAGGGGAGAAUGGAAUUCCUGGUGGAGCGGUGGAAUGCGCAGAUAUCAGGAGGAACACCAGUGGCGAAGGCGGUUCUCUGGGCCUUUCCUGACGCUGAGGAGCGAAAGCGUGGGGAGCGAACAGGCUUAGAUACCCUGGUAGUCCACGCUGUAAACGGUGGGUACUAGGUGUGGGGUCCAUUCCACGGGUUCCGUGCCGUAGCUAACGCUUUAAGUACCCCGCCUGGGGAGUACGGCCGCAAGGCUAAAACUCAAAGGAAUUGACGGGGCCCCGCACAAGCGGCGGAGCAUGCGGAUUAAUUCGAUGCAACGCGUAGAACCUUACCUGGGUUUGACAUGGAUCGGGAGUGCUCAGAGAUGGGUGUGCCUCUUUUGGGGUCGGUUCACAGGUGGUGCAUGGCUGUCGUCAGCUCGUGUCGUGAGAUGUUGGGUUAAGUCCCGCAACGAGCGCAACCCUUGUUCACUGUUGCCAGCACGUUAUGGUGGGGACUCAGUGGAGACCGCCGGGGUCAACUCGGAGGAAGGUGGGGAUGACGUCAAGUCACCAUGCCCCUUAUGUCCAGGGCUUCACGCAUGCUACAAUGGCUGGUACAGAGAGUGGCGAGCCUGUGAGGGUGAGCGAAUCUCGGAAAGCCGGUCUCAGUUCGGAUUGGGGUCUGCAACUCGACCUCAUGAAGUCGGAGUCGCUAGUAAUCGCAGAUCAGCAACGCUGCGGUGAAUACGUUCCCGGGGCU